UCAUAACAGGUGUAUCUGGCUUGAAGGACCAUGAAAAAACUAUUGGCUGGGAUAGCCCGUUAGCAAAGUUAAUAAAAGCAGUAGGUUUUGAAGUCUAAUAUAUAUUCACUUUUCCAUGCCAUGCGUUCUAAAGGUCUCUCUAACUGUGUUAUGUUGACUAUUAGAUAGAUCGUCAGCGGCAAUACCUCCAUCGGGUGUGGAGAGGAGGUCAGGGACAGGGAGCUACUCCUCGUGACUAUGGUCUUCCUCCUAACUAUGUGGCCAAACAUCUGGUGUCCCUCGGUGGUGGCAGUCCUGCCCUGAUGAAUGUGUUCCUUCUGGAGGUGCAUCACUCCCUAAGCCUGGCCUCUGAAGUGUACCAGGCCCUGACCCAGGCUCACACUGACCUCUGCCAGCUCCACCGUGCCAGGGGGGUAACUGAGAGAGUCACCCUGGAACAGAGACUCCUACAGCGGGCUCUGCAGCACUGGCACUCCCUGGAUCGUCCCGGGGCCUACUAUAGCUCUCAAACUCAAAAGGAUUUGUUUUCAGAUGUUUUCAUGGAGGACCCCUCCUUGGUCCGAGCGGUGGGGGUCUCUCUGAUCAGGUCGGCUGAGGAGCAGGACAUGAAGCAGGGGAAGGAGAAACAGUUCUUUGCUGUGGAAACCUUCUCCAAGCUGCUGGAGUUAGUCACCAUCCGCCAUCGCCUCAUGGAGUCAGCAGCAGAGACUGCACAUCUGGCACAGUUGAGUUGA
rnacentral:lncRNA from 8 species